rnacentral:rRNA from 1 species
CCUACGGGAGGCAGCAGUGAGGAAUAUUGGUCAAUGGACGAGAGCCUGAACCAGCCAAGUAGCGUGAAGGAUGACUGCCCUAUGGGUUGUAAACUUCUUUUAUAUGGGAAUAAAACAGGGUAUGCAUACCCUCUUGUAUGUACCAUAUGAAUAAGGAUCGGCUAACUACGUGCCAGCAGCCGCGGGAAUACGGAGGAUCCGAGGGUUAUCCGGAUUUAUUUGGGUUAAAGGGCGCGUUGGUGGGUUGGUAAGUCAAUUGUGAAAGUUUGCGGCUCAACCGUAAAAUUGCAGUUGAAACUGGCAGUCUUGAGUACAGUAGAGGUAGGCGGAAGUCGUGGUGUAGCGGUGAAAUGCUUAGAUAUCACGAAGAACUCCGAUUGCGAAGGCAGCUCACUGGACUGCAACUGACGCUGAUGCUCGAAAGUGUGGGUAUCAAACAGGAUUAGAUACCCCUGUAGUC